GAGCGGCGAACGGGUGAGUAACACGUGAGUAACCUGCCCUCAACUUCGGGAUAAGCCUGGGAAACCGGGUCUAAUACCGGAUACGACCUGGUGUGGCAUCGCAUCGGGUGGAAAGAUUUUUUGGUUGGGGAUGGGCUCGCGGCCUAUCAGCUUGUUGGUGGGGUAGUGGCCUACCAAGGCGACGACGGGUAGCCGGCCUGAGAGGGCGACCGGCCACACUGGGACUGAGACACGGCCCAGACUCCUACGGGAGGCAGCAGUGGGGAAUAUUGCGCAAUGGGCGGAAGCCUGACGCAGCGACGCCGCGUGGGGGAUGACGGCCUUCGGGUUGUAAACCUCUUUCAGCAGGGACGAAGUUGACGUGUACCUGUAGAAGAAGCGCCGGCUAACUACGUGCCAGCAGCCGCGGUAAUACGUAGGGCGCGAGCGUUGUCCGGAAUUAUUGGGCGUAAAGAGCUCGUAGGUGGCUGGUCGCGUCUGCCGUGAAAGCCCAUGGCUUAACUGUGGGUCUGCGGUGGAUACGGGCCGGCUAGAGGUAGGUAGGGGCAAGCGGAAUUCCU
rnacentral:rRNA from 1 species